rnacentral:lncRNA from 10 species
UUCCUGCCAAGAGUCUGGUCCCAUCUCACAUCCCUUGCCAACCUCCAAUAUUCUGGAUGACUUCUUUUGCAGGCAGGUCCUUGCUUUCAGGCCCGGAUUCCCAUCCUCCUAGCUCAGUGACCCCUCGCAGAAGGAAAGUGCCUGCUUUCAUGUGAUGUCUGUGCAUUAGUUCCAGGGAAGAGCUCUGGGCAGCCCAUCUUGGGAAUCAAGGGAUCUCCUUCUAUCUCAGACCUAUGCCACUGGGGAGAGUGGGAUGAUUGACAACUCAUGCUUGAGGCAGAGAACAUGGAAAAUGGAAUCCAGGAGAGGAUACUGAGACAAGAUUCAAUAUCUCAAUCCUUCCAAGGAAAGAAGCUGAAUGCAUGCAGUGAUUUGCCCAUUCAACAGCAGGAAGGUCUCAAGCCAAGGUUAUCUCAUCUCAGGAGCUCAGCCACAGCAUUUCUUUUAGGCCCCGCAGGGCAGAGAUCCUUCUAUUUUAACCACAUUGAUAACCCUCUCCAUUAUUUUCCUCCACACUCCAUCCCUGGUGGAAAAGCAGCCCCUGGAAUCUCUCUUCUGAUUUCCCAGGGAAUCCCUACUGGCUCUUUGGGGUAGACAGAAGGGAAUGAGUUCAAAGACUUCAGCAGAGAAUGUAGAAUGGAGGAGGAUUGUCCCCACAUGAUCUGGGCUCAUUCUUCCAUUCCAGGCCACCUUCUGUAGCCUGAAAGUCCCCUGUGACUCUUUCUUUUUCUGCAUUUGCCAAACAUUUAUUUUGUCCCUUUAUUUAAAACUUCAGUGUUGCUUUGUUGCUUUUUAAAUUAGAAGACAAUGAUUUUCUUCUUUGCGAGGCAGAGAGAGAAGAUGUGGAAAGAAAAGCUCCCAGGAUUUAGAGCAUGGAUAUUAGGAUACUUCUUCAUCACGUCUUUCUUGAAGAUGUGGGUAUGAGCCAUGGUAAAAUUAAGAGUGGUCCCUUCCAGAUGACCUCUCCAGUGACCUUGGGCACUUAAGGCACUCUCCUUGGCUCUAGCGUUUUUAUUUGAGAAACGGGUAGAAAUCAUUUCUGUCUGCUCACAUCAGAGAAAUAGGUGGGAAAUGCUGAAUGGAAUAUAAAGUGCUAAUCAC